CAGUCGCCGCGGGAAUACAGAGGGUGCGAGCGUUAAUCGGAUUUACUGGGCGUAAAGCGUGCGUAGGCGGCUUCUUAAGUCGGAUGUGAAAUCCCUGUGCUUAACUUAGGAAUUGCAUUCGAUACUGGGAAGCUAGAGUAUGGGAGAGGAUGGUAGAAUUCCAGGUGUAGCGGUGAAAUGCGUAGAGAUCUGGAGGAAUACCGAUGGCGAAGGCAGCCAUCUGGCCUAAUACUGACGCUGAGGUACGAAAGCAUGGGGAGCAAACAGGAUUAGAGACCCCCGUAGUCCCUGUCUCUUAUAC
rnacentral:rRNA from 1 species